CCUGGCUCUACUCGGCGGCCGAGCUGCACGCCCUCUUCGAGAGCGCGGGCUUCACCGACGUGGAGUGCUUCGGCGGGUUCGACGCCUCCGGCUACGACCA
rnacentral:tRNA from 3 species